rnacentral:misc_RNA from 1 species
CGAGCUGAUGCCUUUAGGAAAUAAACCAAAAUUUCCAAAAAGUUGUUUCCUUUGUAGAUCUGUAGCAUGUGUUUUAGAUGCUUCGGUCCUUGGCGUUUGUAAUUACAGUUCCAGAAGACAGUUCUCAGAAGAAGGUUCCUGUGGCCACGACUUGCUAGGAUUGAUUGUUUGAUGUACUGCAGUUAAUUGCAGUUCAUCAGAAUAAACUGAUUUUAAUCGUAACAGUAGGAGUUGUUAGAAGAAGGAUGUAUCUCAGUUGAUGUAGAGGUUAUCUUAACAGAGAUUUGCUUUUGCAGCACUUGAAAAGCUACUUAAAG